UGGGGAAUAUUGGACAAUGGGCGCAAGCCUGAUCCAGCCAUGCCGCGUGAGUGAUGAAGGCCUUCGGGUUGUAAAGCUCUUUCAGAUGGGACGAUGAUGACGGUACCAUCAGAAGAAGCCCCGGCUAACUUCGUGCCAGCAGCCGCGGUAAUACGAAGGGGGCUAGCGUUGUUCGGAAUUACUGGGCGUAAAGCGCGCGUAGGCGGCUUUGUCAGUCAGGGGUGAAAUCCCGGGGCUUAACCUCGGAACUGCCCUUGAUACUGCAAGGCUUGAGUCUGUGAGAGGAUGGUGGAAUACCCAGUGUAGAGGUGAAAUUCGUAGAUAUUGGGUGGAACACCAGUGGCGAAGGCGGCCAUCUGGCACAGUACUGACGCUGAGGUGCGAAAGCGUGGGGAGCAAACAGG
rnacentral:rRNA from 1 species